GGAGUUAGCCGGUGCUUCUUCUGUGAGUGAUGUCCUUCCUGCCGGCUAUUAACCCGCAGGCCUUCUUCCUCACUGAAAGUGCUUUACAACCCGAAGGCCUUCUUCACACACGCGGCAUGGCUGGAUCAGGGUUGCCCCCAUUGUCCAAUAUUCCCCACUGCUGCCUCCCGUAGGAGUCUGGGCCGUGUCUCAGUCCCAGUGUGGCUGAUCAUCCUCUCAGACCAGCUACGGAUCGUCGCCUUGGUGAGCCGUUACCUCACCAACCAGCUAAUCCGACAUAGGCUCAUCCGAUAGCGCGAGGCCCGAAGGUCCCCCGCUUUCCCCCGUAGGGCGUAUGCGGUAUUAGCCUGGGUUUCCCCAGGUUAUCCCCCACUACCGGGCAGAUUCCUAUGCAUUACUCACCCGUCCGCCGCUCGCCACCAGGGAGCAAGCUCCCCGUGCUGCCGCUCGACUUGCAUGUGUUAGGCCUGCCGCCAGCGUUCAAUCUGAGCCAUANCAACACUCGACUACGAGCGGCGUGCGACGACGC
rnacentral:rRNA from 1 species